rnacentral:rRNA from 3 species
AAAUUGAAGAGUUUGAUCAUGGCUCAGAUUGAACGCUGGCGGCAGGCCUAACACAUGCAAGUCGAACGGUAACAGGAAGCAGCUUGCUGCUUUGCUGACGAGUGGCGGACGGGUGAGUAAUGUCUGGGAAACUGCCUGAUGGAGGGGGAUAACUACUGGAAAUGGUGGCUAAUACCGCAUAACGUCGCAAGACCAAAGAGGGGGACCUUCGGGCCUCUUGCCAUCAGAUGUGCCCAGAUGGGAUUAGCU